rnacentral:rRNA from 1 species
AGAGUUUGAUCCUGGCUCAGGAUGAACGCUAGCUAUAGGCUUAACACAUGCAAGUCGAGGGGAAACGGCAUUAUGUGCUUGCACAUUUUGGACGUCGACCGGCGCACGGGUGAGUAUCGCGUAUCCAACCUUCCCUCCACUCGGGGAUACCCCGUUGAAAGACGGCCUAAUACCCGAUGUUGUCCACAUAUGGCAUCUGACGUGGACCAAAGAUUCAUCGGUGGAGGAUGGGGAUGCGUCUGAUUAGCUUGUUGGUGCGGGUAACGGCCCACCAAGGCGACGAUCAGUAGGGGUUCUGAGAGGAAGGUCCCCCACAUUGGAACUGAGACACGGUCCAAACUCCUACGGGAGGCAGCAGUGAGGAAUAUUGGUCAAUGGACGGAAGUCUGAACCAGCCAAGUAGCGUGCAGGAUUGACGGCCCUAUGGGUUGUAAACUGCUUUUGUUGGGGAGUAAAGUUGGGCACGUGUGCCUUUUUGCAUUUACCCUUCGAAUAAGGACCGGCUUAUUCCGUGCCAGCAGCCGCGGU